CAUAACUCUUCUGCCUGCUCUGAGCCGUCUGAAUGUUCCUCCUGAUCUUAACUAUUUUGGAUGUAGUUUCCUCUACCAGCUCCGGGUCGAACAAUUUUCUAUCGCCCACUUCUUUCCAAUAAAUCGGUGAUCUGCAUGGGCGCCCAUAUAACGCCUCAUACGGAGCCAUGCUAAUGCUCACUUGGUAGCUGUUGUUGUAGAACUCUAUC
rnacentral:lncRNA from 1 species